CUACGGGCGGGAGCAGACAGAGGCGGCGUGGAGCGCCACGUUAUUCUUUCCACCCUUGCGUGGCUGUACCGGAAGGAGGUGCCCAUUUUCAGGACUUGACGCUUCCAGUUUAAACCUCAAGAUGAAGAAAGUGAGACCCAGAAGAGUCACUCAUCAAUUGAACCAUUUCAACAACCAGAUCUGGCCUCUAUUCCUGUUGUUGCAGACGAAAGAAAUGGAAAAGCUCCGAGCAGAAUGAAGUCAGAGCAUGCGCCUUCGUGCUCUGGGUAAGGGGUCAUCGCCAAAUUCCGGAUCAACCUUAGGAUCAACUUGGAGACCUACACACGAAGAGGAAAGCUGCACACUUGAAAUGGCAUUUUCAGUGCAAAUUGGUAUCUGGUUAUGUGGUAUCAUGGCUCUAUGGAAGUGUACUUGCCCAUUGUGAGCGCGCAAUUAACAGCACAUAUUGUUAUUUUCUAAGUUCCUCAUAAGUAUUUUCUACGCGGCUGUAUUAGUUAAAGAACAGUAGUGAAGCUUUAAAUUUGGCAGGAGACAUCCGGAAAUAGCCUUUGGAAUGAAAGGAUUACAACUCAUCUGCUGAAAGCAUGCGUGGCUCUUAAAAGAGCCUUUGGGGUUAGGUGUAAAGACGCUUACU